rnacentral:rRNA from 1 species
GAUGAACGCUGGCGGCGUGCCUAAUACAUGCAAGUCGAGCGAACAGACGAGGAGCUUGCUCCUCUGACGUUAGCGGCGGACGGGUGAGUAACACGUGGAUAACCUACCUAUAAGACUGGGAUAACUUAGGGAAACCGGAGCUAAUACCGGAUAAUAUAUUGAACCGCAUGGUUCAAUAGUGAAAGACGGCUUUGCUGUCACUUAUAGAUGGAUCCGCGCCGCAUUAGCUAGUUGGUAAGGUAACGGCUUACCAAGGCAACGAUGCGUAGCCGACCUGAGAGGGUGAUCGGCCACACUGGAACUGAGACACGGUCCAGACUCCUACGGGAGGCAGCAGUAGGGAAUCUUCCGCAAUGGGCGAAAGCCUGACGGAGCAACGCCGCGUGAGUGAUGAAGGUCUUCGGAUCGUAAAACUCUGUUAUUAGGGAAGAACAAAUGUGUAAGUAACUAUGCACGUCUUGACGGUACCUAAUCAGAAAGCCACGGCUAACUACGUG